rnacentral:sRNA from 1 species
UGAUCAAACUUUUCACCGUCUAUACACCC